AUCUUCGGAUCUAGUGGCGCACGGGUGCGUAACGCGUGGGAAUCUGCCCUUGGGUUCGGAAUAACUUCUGGAAACGGAAGCUAAUACCGGAUGAUGACGUAAGUCCAAAGAUUUAUCGCCCAAGGAUGAGCCCGCGUAGGAUUAGCUAGUUGGUGGGGUAAAGGCCCACCAAGGCGACGAUCCUUAGCUGGUCUGAGAGGAUGAUCAGCCACACUGGGACUGAGACACGGCCCAGACUCCUACGGGAGGCAGCAGUAGGGAAUAUUGGACAAUGGGGGAAACCCUGAUCCAGCAAUGCCGCGUGAGUGAUGAAGGCCUUAGGGUUGUAAAGCUCUUUUACCCGGGAUGAUAAUGACAGUACCGGGAGAAUAAGCUCCGGCUAACUCCGUGCCAGCAGCCGCGGUAAUACGGAGGGAGCUAGCGUUGUUCGGAAUUACUGGGC
rnacentral:rRNA from 1 species